GAUUCUGGCUCAGAUUGAACGCUGGCGGCGUGCUUAACACAUGCAAGUCGCGCGUGAAAGGACUUCGGUCCGAGUAAAGCGGCGCACGGGUGAGUAACGCGUGGAUGAUCUACCCAUGAGUUAGGAAUAACGGCUGGAAACGGUCGCUAAUACCAAAUACGCUCCGAUUUCAACUUCGGGGGAAAGGUGGCCUCUGCUUGCAAGCUACUGCUCAUGGAUGAGUCCGCGUCCCAUUAGCUAGUUGGUGGGGUAACGGCCCACCAAGGCGACGAUGGGUAGCCGGUCUGAGAGGAUGACCGGCCACACUGGGACUGGAACACGGCCCAGACUCCUACGGGAGGCAGCAGUGGGGAAUAUUGCGCAAUGGGCGAAAGCCUGACGCAGCGACGCCGCGUGAGGGAUGAAGGUCCUCGGAUCGUAAACCUCUGUCAGGAGGGAAGAACCGCCACGGUGCUAAUCAGCCGUGGUCUGACGGUACCUCCAAAGGAAGCACCGGCUAACUCCGUGCCAGCAGCGGC
rnacentral:rRNA from 1 species